rnacentral:misc_RNA from 1 species
GGCAUUGGGAGCUUCUUUGACACCUGCAACAUCAUUAUAAAAUUAAAGUUGGGCCGUCUAUUAUUAUGUUUGACCACAGAGGAAAAGCCAAAACCAGUAAAAAGGUCUAACCUUUAUCUUAUUUUACUUAAAAACAAGCAUCAAAGGAACACCUAGAUUAACUAGCAUGAUGAAAAUAUUUUCUUUCAACAAUCAAAUAAGUC